GCUUCCUGCAGUGGAAAACUGAGCUCCUCCAUGGAGACAGAGCCCGUCUCUGGCUGGGAACUACAGACUGCGUGGGUCCAGUAGGAAGGUGGAGAUGCCCAAGCCAUGCUGGAUCAGGGCAAGAGGUGACACUUCCCAGCAGGAGCCAGCAUUUCCUCCUGCUCCUGCCCCAGCCUCCCUGAACAAACACUCUUACAAAGGAGAGAAGCCUCCAGAUACAGCUUGAAAUGUUGCAGAACUCUGCAGGUGCUCUCCGUUAUAACAAAACCCCAGAACAGAUGGUGCAAGGUACCAGGCCAGCUCAAGGGAUUAAGGCAAGGCUUUUGAAAUUUAAAAUUAAAGCUGGGUGAUCUUGGGGAAAAUGUACCUGCCAAACAAGCUUGCUUAAAAAAAAAAAAAAAAAAAGUUCUCCAAGUUCUCCCUACAAGCUGAUUUAAAUUCAAAUGAGACAAAAAUUGGGCACUUUAAAAGUGCUUAAGAGAGGAUUAAAAAUCUGCGAGCAAGA